rnacentral:lncRNA from 1 species
GCCAGCAAUGGAAUAAGGUACACCCCAGAGAAUUUCAACCCUGGAGAACAGCAAGCAGUGAAGCAGAAUUCCUGUGAGACCCAGCUGAAACCCUCAGAUGUAGUCUGAGGCCUGCUUAAAGACCUGUGCAUAAAAUGGCAUUUGGAAAGGGGAAGAUGCUGCUUAAGAAGAGGAGUCAGUUACAAAGACCACUGCUUGACAAACCUGAUGUCCUCACCUACCUUUCAGACCUGUUGGGUUUCUGAGAACUAUUCUGGCCUUCAAGUCAUGAUCCAUUUCCUCUGAUCACAGUUCAUCUCCUGGCAUAUGCAAUCUACUGUCACCAAAUCCACUGAAUUUUCAAGAGAUCCUGGGUAUCACCAUGUGCUAAAGCGGGACACACGCUUGGCAUGGUGGAAGGAACUUGGUCUUGGAAGAAAGGAAAACGAGGGUGGAGUUGCAGCCUCACCUCUUCUCACUUCCCUCUCGUCAAUGCUUGCUUGUUUGUUUCAGCUUUAUUGAGGAAUAAUUGACAAAUAAAAAUUGUAUAUACUUAAGGUGUACAGCAUGAUGCUUUGUUUCACAUGCACAUUGUGAAAUGAUUACCACAAUCAAGCUAGUUAUCCAUCACCCCACAUGGUUUGCUUUUUUUCUUAUGUGAUGAGGGCACUUAAGAUCUACUCUCUCAGCAAAUUUCAAGUAUAUAAUACAAUACUUUUAACUGUAGUCACUA